GGGUUGUGAGGUUAAGCGACUAAGCGUACACGGUGGAUGCCCUGGCAGUCAGAGGCGAUGAAGGACGUGCUAAUCUGCGAUAAGCGUCGGUGAGGUGAUAUGAACCGUUAUAACCGGCGAUUUCCGAAUGGGGAAACCCAGUGUGUUUCGACACACUAUCAUUAACUGAAUCCAUAGGUUAAUGAGGCGAACCGGGGGAACUGAAACAUCUAAGUACCCCGAGGAAAAGAAAUCAACCGAGAUUCCCCCAGUAGCGGCGAGCGAACGGGGAGGAGCCCAGAGCCUGAAUCAGUGUGUGUGUUAGUGGAAGCGUCUGGAAAGGCGUGCGAUACAGGGUGACAGCCCCGUACACAAAAAUGCACAUAUUGUGAGCUCGAUGAGUAGGGCGGGACACGUGGUAUCCUGUCUGAAUAUGGGGGGACCAUCCUCCAAGGCUAAAUACUCCUGACUGACCGAUAGUGAACCAGUACCGUGAGGGAAAGGCGAAAAGAACCCCGGCGAGGGGAGUGAAAAAGAACCUGAAACCGUGUACGUACAAGCAGUGGGAGCCUCUUAAUGGGGUGACUGCGUACCUUUUGUAUAAUGGGUCAGCGACUUAUAUUCUGUAGCAAGGUUAACCGAAUAGGGGAGCCGAAGGGAAACCGAGUCUUAACUGGGCGUUAAGUUGCAGGGUAUAGACCCGAAACCCGGUGAUCUAGCCAUGGGCAGGUUGAAGGUUGGGUAACACUAACUGGAGGACCGAACCGACUAAUGUUGAAAAAUUAGCGGAUGACUUGUGGCUGGGGGUGAAAGGCCAAUCAAACCGGGAGAUAGCUGGUUCUCCCCGAAAGCUAUUUAGGUAGCGCCUCGUGAAUUCAUCUCCGGGGGUAGAGCACUGUUUCGGCAAGGGGGUCAUCCCGACUUACCAACCCGAUGCAAACUGCGAAUACCGGAGAAUGUUAUCACGGGAGACACACGGCGGGUGCUAACGUCCGUCGUGAAGAGGGAAACAACCCAGACCGCCAGCUAAGGUCCCAAAGUCAUGGUUAAGUGGGAAACGAUGUGGGAAGGCCCAGACAGCCAGGAUGUUGGCUUAGAAGCAGCCAUCAUUUAAAGAAAGCGUAAUAGCUCACUGGUCGAGUCGGCCUGCGCGGAAGAUGUAACGGGGCUAAACCAUGCACCGAAGCUGCGGCAGCGACACUAUGUGUUGUUGGGUAGGGGAGCGUUCUGUAAGCCUGUGAAGGUGGCCUGUGAGGGUUGCUGGAGGUAUCAGAAGUGCGAAUGCUGACAUAAGUAACGAUAAAGCGGGUGAAAAGCCCGCUCGCCGGAAGACCAAGGGUUCCUGUCCAACGUUAAUCGGGGCAGGGUGAGUCGACCCCUAAGGCGAGGCCGAAAGGCGUAGUCGAUGGGAAACAGGUUAAUAUUCCUGUACUUGGUGUUACUGCGAAGGGGGGACGGAGAAGGCUAUGUUGGCCGGGCGACGGUUGUCCCGGUUUAAGCGUGUAGGCUGGUUUUCCAGGCAAAUCCGGAAAACCAAGGCUGAGGCGUGAUGACGAGGCACUACGGUGCUGAA
rnacentral:rRNA from 1 species